rnacentral:rRNA from 1 species
CAGUAGCCGCGGUAAUACAGAGGGUGCGAGCGUUAAUCGGAUUUACUGGGCGUAAAGCGUGCGUAGGUGGUGGUUUAAGUCCGUUGUGAAAGCCCUGGGCUCAACCUGGGAAUUGCAGUGGAUACUGGGUCACUAGAGUGUGGUAGAGGAUAGUGGAAUUUCCGGUGUAGCAGUGAAAUGCGUAGAGAUCGGAAGGAACAUCUGUGGCGAAGGCGACUAUCUGGGCCAACACUGACACUGAGGCACGAAAGCGUGGGGAGCAAACAGGAUUAGAUACCCGGGUAGUCCCUGUCUCUUAUAC